UACGUAGGGGGCGAGCGUUGUCCGGAGUUACUGGGCGUAAAGGGCACGCAGGCGGUUGUGUGAGUUUGCGGGGACAGUGGGUGGCUUAACUGCCCAAGGGUCGCAAAGACGGCACGACUGGAGAGUGAGAGAGGGACCUGGAACUCCGGGUGGAGCGGUGAAAUGCGUAGAGAUCCGGAAGAACACCACUGGCGCAGGCAAGGUCCUGGCUCGUAUCUGACGCUGAGGUGCGAAAGCUAGGGGAGCGAACGGG
rnacentral:rRNA from 1 species